UUAUUGUGUUCAAAUCUCAGUUAUCUGGAAGAAGUUGUUAACUUUAAAGAAAUCAGUGCUCUUUAACCUUUGUUGAGAGAGAAAUGGAUCUAUAACAGAUUGGUAAUUUACUGAUUUUGCUGAGAGAAUUAAGGAGAAUAAGCCCACACACAUAGAUUGGCCUGUAUUCGGCAACUCAGGUGUGCCAAGAAUUCCCACUGCAGUCAUCAGAAAACUAUUUUCAUCAGGCAUAAUUUCUUAGCUUCAGGGUUUCACAUAUAUUGGGUAUGUUCAAAUGCAGUAUAAAGCUUUGCAGGUAUUUGUAAUAAAAUUCAUGUUGGUCUUAUUGUAAGAGAUUGGGAUACUAGCAAAAUUUUCUUCAAUGUUUUCUUUGCCUUGAUAAGUAAGAAUUGGCUGUUGUUGUCUUUUAUAGCCGUUCAGAGUUUUGUUUUCUUCAUUGCUGGUGGAAUCUGUUUCAUCCCAGGAGCCUACCAUGUAGUCUAUAUCUAUUGUGCAGUAAAAGGAAGAAGAGGGUUUUCUUUUCAUAAUUUACCAACUCUGAAGUGAUCAAAUCCUGAAAGGAUAUAUAUACCAGUAUAUGCAUCAGGCAUAUUCAAUUAAAUAUUUGCCAAGUACUGAAGAUGCAACAUUUUGAGGAUCCAGUAUUGUGUAACUCAGAUAAGAAACAAUGCUUAGUUUACAGCUGCCAAAACAUGGCGCACAAAUUGUGGGCACCAAACCCAGGCGUGUAUGGUCUGCUUUAAUGUCAACUGUCUACUGGAGAUUAGAUUUCAUAGUCUCUUCAGUCCCAAAACACAGCCAGAUCCAGUUGUGGGUUGUACUAAACCAGAGUCAAGCCAGUUAUUUUGUGCACACCCAGCUUUAAAUUCAAGUCCCAAGUAGGACUG
rnacentral:lncRNA from 1 species